GGAGAAAGACCACGAAGAACGGAGAGGUGUAGUCCACGGACACAAAGAGUGGAUCCGAUCCUGGGUAAACUCUCUUAGACUACAAAACACACGUUUAACGGCAACAAAACAAACGGAAUAGAGAAGCUUCGGAACUGAGGGUUUCCAAACUGCGUUACCCACUCCAGGCAGCAGAUGGCGACGUGCGUCUUUCAUGUGAAGAGUCAGUCGUGACGUAUAAUCCAGUGGACGGGACCGGAUAACAACAACACGGUUACGGAUUCGACCACAUCGGUAGCUCCCAAGCGACAUAAAACCGAAACAUUGGAGCUCUUUGGACCGUUAUAGACAUCAGUGUUUUAAACACGCUGUCUGCGUAUAAAGUUAUUCCAUUUCACACUGACGCUGUUAGUCAGCUAGCUGGUUAAAAUAGCCGAGCACUUGUCUAGUCGAUCACGCGAAUGAGCGAACAUCUCAGGACAUGAACUCACUAAAUUACUCCCACCCUGCUAAAGAAGAAGCUCGUGGCCUGAACGUUGUCGUGGCAGAGGAAGAGGAGGAAAAAGAAGCGUUCGGAAUGAAAGAAGAGAAGAAGGUUAUCACAUUGAAAGAAGAAGAAGGUAUUGGAGUAAAUGAGGCGAUGUGCGUUACAGGGAAAGAAGUGGAGAAAGAAGAAGACGCCGUUGUUCGAGUGAAGGAGGGGAUUACUGUCACAGUGAAAGGAGAGGAAGGUUUCUGGGUGAAAGAGGAGGAGAAGUACAUGACUGUCACAGUGAAAGGAGAGGAAGAAGGUUUCGGGGUGAAAGAGGAGGAGAAGUACAUGACUGUCACAGUGAAAGGAGAGGAAGAAGGUUUCGGGGUGAAAGAGGAGGAGAAGUACAUGACUGUCACAGUGAAAGGAGAGGAAGAAGAGCAUGUUUUAGUGAAGGAAGAAGAGCAUGUUUUAGUGAAGGAAGAAGAGCAUGUCUUUGGAGUGAAAGAGGAGGAAGAAGCUAUGAGAGUGAAAAAUGAGGGGAUGAUGACGAUGAAGAGGAGGGGGAGACUGGAGAUCUGAUUAACACCAAAGAGAGACCAGACUCUCAGUCUGACGGCAGGAAGAGUCCAUUGGGGGAACCAGACCCAGAGACGGCCAAACCAGCAAGACCACACCACUGCUCCCAGUGUGGAAAGAGUUUUUCCCGGUUAUGGGACCGGAAAAUACAUGAGAGAAUACACUCUGGAGUGAAGCCUUACCACUGCUCAGACUGUGGAAAGAGAUUUACCCAGCUAGGGCACCUGAAAGAACAUAAGAGAACACACACUGAUGCUGUUCAUCACGUUUGCUGACUGAAGACAAAUGAAUAAUGUCAGUCAUCAGUAUUUUGCAGUUCUUCCAGAGGGGGCGGUAACUGUCAGUGUAGUUGACCUCUGAUUCGUCGAGCUUCAUGUCAGUCAUUCCCACUUCGGUCCACGUGUGUGAAAGAAGGUGUGGUUGGUUGCAUUUUUACCACGGCCCUGAUCUAUUUUCCACUAAUAUGGUCUUAUGAUCAAUCACAUCAGAUAUUUUUUUUUUUUCAGAGCUGAUCUAAGUGGUCAAAAGACCAAUUGGUGGAUUUUUUAAAUAUUUUUUUUUUGAAUUUAGAAUUGUGAGUAAGAUUCUGUUAAUAAAUAAUGCCAUCCAUAAACUGUAUGUACCUUCUUUGUGCAGAGUCAUAAUAAUAUAAUAAUAAUAUAAUAAUAAUAUAAUAAUAAAACCUCA